AUACUCGCUAGGUUUGCCGAACCAACUAGCCUCAGGGGCCUUUUAGAAAUUCUCUCCUGUUUCCUUCAUAUUUCUUUCGAAUUCUUCUUUUCUGUGAAAUUCAGAGGAAAACAAUGGCGACCACAUCGUCGAGAACGAGGUCUCGAGGAGGACCAGUGCUUCGCUCUCUAUCGCCGUCGGGCCGUUUCUGUGGUUCCUACGCGCACACCGUGUCGUCUUCGUCGUCAUCGGCGUUCGCUUCCUCCACCAGCUCCAGUUUCUCGUCUCCGUCGUCGGCCUUCUUCACCAGCCACCAUCACCGUUCUGCGUCGCCGACGCGUGUCAAUCUCUAUACGACGGCUCCGCCGACCCAGUCGUUUCGGUUCUCGAUUGACACCAGAUCCAUCUCUCCGAAUAGAUCUAUCGCCUUCUCGAAGCCGAGCAGCCACCAGAUUUCUGAGCCGAGGAAGAGGUGUAUGUGCUCGCCGACGACGCAUCCUGGAUCUUUUCGCUGCAGUCUCCACAAGAACUUGGCUAAUCCUCACGGUCAAGGUUCGGCGUCGUAUCCGUCGAACCGGUUGAAUAUGCGUAGAUCGGCAAUGACGAAUUCUCUGGUGAGAAUCGGUGGCGUCGAAGGAGAGUGGGUAAGGAGAGCAUUGACAGCGCUGAUACGUCCGUCGUCGCACCAACUGAGGAGACGAGCGGCGUUUCAGCCUCGUCCGAGUCGGCUCUCGGUCAUGUCGAAAGCCGACAAUCAUUGAUCGGCUUACAGAUACGAUCAAUCAGGUUUGUUCUUCUUUUUGAAACGGCUGCGGCAAAAAAUUUCUGGUGUGGCAAUGGAUGAAGGGGCACGGAACCGGCGAAGACGACUGGCUCUGAAGCGAACGGAGUCUUGGAUCUGCCCGGGCGAGUCAAGUCAAGGAGUUGCCGAGUCAAGACCGGCGAGAUCUACGCGUUUUGCGUUCCGUCAACUUCUUCCCAAAGUCCGUCACGGGAUCCGUCACCAUUGCCGUUUCGCCCGUUAUUUCCCAGGUUUGCGUUGAUUCGUCGUGUGAGGUACUAUAAUCUUUUCCCUUCAUCUGCUAUUUUUAUCUGUUGCGUUCCGUUUCGUUUCCCUGUGAACGCUUGAUCUGUUUUUUUGUUUCAGGAAAAAAUGGAGCUGUGCUCUGUUUGAUGUGGAGAUUCGUAGAAUGGAGUUUGGACAAAUAAAAACUCACACGGCAAGAUUAAAAAAAAAAACCAGAAUUAGUUGGAAUUGUUUUUAGAAGAUCUUUAGUGGCAAAAUCUUGAAAAAUUAUUCGAAUUGAACACCAGAAUGAACAUGUGAAAAAAUUGCAAGUAAAACACAAGAUGGCAGAAAGUGAAAAUUGUGAAAAGAAUGUAGGGUAGUUUGGGAAAUGAAAAAAGUAUUGGGAUUGUGAUAAAGGGCGAACAGAUCAGAGUGCCUUCCAGACAAGCGGAGACGGGAACAUAAUUUUUACACAAAUAAUAUACCAGUUUUAAAAUUAUUUGACAGAUAAUAUAAUCUUAAUAUUUUCUAACAGUUAUAUAAAGUUCAGAUGACCAUUAUCUAUCGACACGAAUGACAAGACUUGUUUAUGGAUCUUAAAAAUAAUUGAAAAUAGUUUUUCCCUGUUUGGUGAAAUGGAAACAAACUCAAGUAGGUGGAACGUGAGAAGGUCAUGUGAAAUCCGACAAGGCAAUGAAGCUGUUCCCGUAUUAUGGGGAGAUUAUUAGAUUUCAACACUUUGGUAAUUCGGAUCUUCGCAUAUCAACAAAAAUAUCAAGUAUAAAAUAAAAAUAGUUUUCGAGAUCACAGCUAUUAAUUUGACUAUCUCCAGUGUUAUUAAAAAAAAAUACACACGUUUUUUAAUCAAUAGGACAACAUGCGAUUUUAAUCUAAUCGAGCGACAUACCAAGUUGAAAUUAAUUAUAAAAAAAAGCUACACUUGCUUGUAUAUACGUUUGUUUGAAGUCGCACAAUCUAGGAGGCGAUUGUAA